AGUGUUGAUACAACAGAGCUGCCUCCUGGCUCUUUGGGAGCCUGGGAGGAGAAGGAGCCGGGAGGGGCGCUGCGGGGAAGCCACCUGCGGAUUCACCGGCUGCUGCUCCGCCCAGGACUGCUGGCAAGCACGGAGGGCUGCCAGACCUGGGGCUCCCUGCUCCGUGCAUCAGGUUGGGGAAAGCACUGUCUGCCCCAGACCCUGACCCAGGACCCGCCUGGAGGAAGCUGGGACCGAGGCUGGGCCAAGAUGGCGUCUGUGUUUCGAAGCGAGGAGAUGUGUUUGUCACAACUGUUUCUCCAGGUGGAAGCUGCAUAUUGCUGUGUGGCUGAGCUCGGAGAGCUUGGAUUGGUUCAGUUCAAAGAUUUAAAUAUGAAUGUGAACAGCUUUCAAAGGAAAUUUGUGAAUGAAGUCAGAAGGUGUGAAUCACUGGAGAGAAUCCUCCGUUUUCUGGAAGACGAGAUGCAAAAUGAGAUUGCAGUUCAGUUGCUUGAGAAAAGCCCACUGACCCCACUCCCACGGGAAAUGAUUACCCUGGAGACUGUUCUAGAAAAACUGGAAGGAGAGUUACAGGAAGCCAACCAGAACCAGCAGGCCUUGAAACAAAGCUUCCUAGAACUGACGGAACUGAAAUACCUCCUGAAGAAAACCCAAGACUUCUUUGAGACGGAAACCAAUUUAGCUGAUGAUUUCUUUACUGAGGACACUUCUGGCCUCCUGGAGUUGAAAGCGGUGCCUGCAUAUAUGACCGGAAAGUUGGGGUU
rnacentral:sRNA from 1 species